rnacentral:rRNA from 1 species
CCCUUAGAUGUUCUGGGCCGCACGCGUGCUACACUGAGUAAUUCAAUGGGUAGGGAACGCUAGAGCAUUACCUAAUCUUGAAAUUUGCUCGUGAUGGGGAUCGACGGUUGCAAUUUUCCGUCGUGAACGAGGAAUACCUUGUAGGCGCAUGUCAUCAUCAUGCGUCGAAUACGUCCCUGCCCUUUGUACACACCGCCCGUCGCUCCUACCGAUUGAGUGAUCCGGUGAGGCUCUGGGACCUGGACAGAAAGAGCGUUUCGCUUGUUCUGUUUGGGAAACUUGGUCGAACCUUAUCAUUUAGAGGAAGGAGAAGUCGUAACA